rnacentral:lncRNA from 1 species
CAGUAUCGCCAUCCGCUCGUCAGGCACACAACAGCGACUUAGUUCCUUCGCCGUCUCAAGCCUCUUCGUGCCUCUCCACAAGGAGUGUGCAACAAUAACGUACGUCUCAACCCCACACGCCUUGUGGCAAUCGGCAGUGCCCUCACUUGAUUUCACGCCCCUAUAGCAGGCCUCUCCCCCUUCCUCGUGCCGCCUGCUGUUGCUGUUGCCGCUUCAGGCCAGUCCCCGCUCCCGCAUUACACGCAUCAUGGUGGAACCCAUUUGUGCGGGCGACCGGGUCACUGUGACGCCAGCGGACUCCAGCGCCUCGAUUUUGUCCG